rnacentral:rRNA from 1 species
UACAGGGGGGGCAAGCGUUGUUCGGAAUUACUGGGCGUAAAGGGUCUGUAGGUGGCCAACUAAGUCAGACGUGAAAUCCCUCAGCUUAACUGGGGAACUGCGUCUGAUACUGGAUGGCUUGAGUGUGGGAGAGGAAUGCGGAAUUCCAGGUGUAGCGGUGAAAUGCGUAGAUAUCAAGAGGAACACCAGUGGCGAAGGCGAGUCCCUGGACAACACCUGACACUGAGGCACGAAAGCUAGGGGAGCAAACAGG